ACGGAAGGCAGCAGUAGGGAAUCUUCGGCAAUGGGGGCAACCCUGACCGAGCAACGCCGCGUGAGUGAAGAAGGUUUUCGGAUCGUAAAGUUCUGUUGUAAGAGAAGAACGUGUGUGAGAGUGGAAAGUUCACACAGUGACGGUAACUUACCAGAAAGGGACGGCUAACUACGUGCCAGCAGCCGCGGUAAUACGUAGGUCCCGAGCGUUGUCCGGAUUUAUUGGGCGUAAAGCGAGCGCAGGCGGUUUAAUAAGUCUGAAAUUAAAGGCAGUGGCUUAACCAUUGUUCGCUUUGGAAACUGUUAGACUUGAGUGCAGAAGGGGAGAGUGGAAUUCCAUGUGUAGCGGUGAAAUGCGUAGAUAUAUGGAGGAACACCGGUGGCGAAAGCGGCUCUCUGGUCUGUAACUGACGCUGAGGCUCGAAAGCGUGGGGAGCAAACAGGAUUAGAUACCCUGGUA
rnacentral:rRNA from 1 species